UGGCUCAGUGGUAGAGCGCUUGCCUUGCAUGCAUGAGGCCCUAGGUUCGAUUCCCCAG
rfam:Dipodomys ordii contig_47880, whole genome shotgun sequence.